UCAGCUGCAGAAGAGGAGACGGGGGGGGAGGGGGGGGGGACACAGGAGAAGUUUCUUGAGUCCGGAGAGAGACGCGUGAAGGGCAUUGAGGGCACUUAAGGGCAGAGCUUGAUGAGUCAUCUCAACAACUCAAAGAGCGCCUGGGAUCGGACAAGACUAAGGCACCGAGCGGAUGGAGGCUGGCCACUCUGUACUCUGAGGCACCAUCUUUGUGGAAUUGGACUUUGACAGGAAUUAUGCUGGUCCAGGGCAUGGAGACAGGAGGGGAGGCUGUCUGGUAUUGAUAUUGUUGGAGGAAGAGUGAUGGAACCUCUAGAGAGAAGGGGACUAAUACUUAAACCUGAAAGCCGACUGUGGUGGUACACACCUUUAAUCCCAGCAGCCAGAUCUCUCUGAAUUCGAGGACAGCCUGCAUAGCAAGCUACACAAAACAGGUACAAGGCUACAUUCUAGAAAGCCUGUUGGUGAGUGGAGAUGAAGAUGUGGGCAGGGAGAGGAAGUGAUGGCUAUAGCUGCAAGCAGUAGAAAGGAAGAAACAGUAAAAAUGGAACUCACCUUCUCCAUGUUUUCCUCAUAUCCUGGUGUGGGCAAAAGAAAAGAUGGUGCCCCUGAACUCAGAAGUGCCCCAAGAGGCCCUACGGAUUUCACAGAGAUCCUUGGCAGCCAGAAGAGGACGCUGGAUUCCCUCCCCUCCAAACACUGGGGUUCCUCCGUCCCUCUUUUCUGCUGCCUAGAGAGGAUGGCUAAGAAAUCCACUGAGGCAAGAGGGAGAAAAGGGAAGGCAACUACACCUAGACUAAUCAGGACUGUGAAGCCUUCAAAGUGUGGAAGCCAGACCCGGGGCAGAAGGGCUGCUAACCGGGGGCGGCGGGGGGGGGGAGCCAUAUGCGUUUGUCUUGAGGUACCACAAAGGAAUGGGAGUGGCUGAUGUACAAAGGGGCUCGGGGAAGGCCUAGUGAGAAGAUUUUAGGGCUGCAACUGCAAUGAUUACCCGGAGGCCCGCCAGCUGCUCACCCGGACCUGGCCUCCACCUGUUUCCGCCCCUGCCUGGAGAGCUGGGAGGAGCUGAGAACAGUAACAACCCACAGCUCGGCUAGGGCUUGUUAGGGGAACCCCUGCCUCGCUUGCUGCGUUUGGAUCUGACCCCCCACCACGCACCCCAUUUGCCAGUUUCCUGCUUCCUCACUCCCACUUCUGCUUUUUCUGUACCCAGGCUCAGCCUUGGUUCCAGUGACUGUUCAUUCAGUCCUAUCUCCACCCUCCCGGGCUCCGAUCCCUAACCUGGGUGUCUGUACCCCCUCUCCCUUUCUGGGUUCCACCUGUGAGCCUGCUCAGUCCUGGCUUUGCAGGAGGCUUCUGCAAUCUCCAAGGGCCUCCGUGUUCUAACUACCACCAGCAUGAUUCUGCCUCUAAAACCUCUUCCCUCCAGCUCUGACAAGACUCCAGGCAUCUGUCCAGCCUCCUCCCCUGACCAACUGUCAACUCCCUCCAGCUUUUCCUGACUCCCUUUCUUAAACUACUUACUCAAGACUGGACUAUCUCCCUCCUUUAGCUCCCCUCUUCUCCCUCUUUUUCUUAAAAAAUAAAAUAAAAUUAUUUUAAAUCCGUCUCUCUUUUCUAUGUAGCCAUCUCUGGACUGGAACUCGCUCUGUGUACCAAACUGAACCUGAAUUUGCAGCAGUCCUCCUGCCUCUGCUUUCCCGGUGCCAAGACAGAAACUAUCUACGUUUCUGUCAGCGCUUCAGAGAGCAAAGCAUCGCUUCCACCUUUGCUAGGACGUCCACAGACCUCUUCUUUACCGACAACCCGGACCCCCGAAGGCGGCCGCCAUACCUCUCC